GAAUUCGUCCAUUGGUCAGGCUUAAUUGUCUGUACUGGUGUGACGAGUUUCUACCUUCUGAAGAACCUUCAUGCUAUUUAGUUAGUGUGUUGGGGAAUCAGGACUGUUACUUUGAAAAAAUUAGAGUGUUUAAAGCAGGCUUAUGUCUGAAUACAUUAGCAUGGAAUAAUGAAAUAGGACGGUACGGUUCUAUUUUGUUGGUUUCUAGGAUCGCCGUAAUGAUUAAUAGGGAUAGUUGGG
rnacentral:rRNA from 1 species